AUGGAUGGAACUAUAGCUGUUUCUGCAUCGUUGUUGAUAAGACAGAACAGGGGAAACAUGCUUCGGGACAUUUAGUGGGGUACUUGGAACAGACCCCAGUGCAAGGAAUGGUGCAUGAUGUUCCUUGAUAGGAAGUAGAUGACUCCAUGAUUGUGUGCUGAGUUUGUGGAAAAAGAGAGUGAGUCAGCCCAAUGUCAGAGUAAAAAGAGAGCAUGCUUUGAAUAUGGCUAGCACGAUCAUUGGGUUAGGAAUUGUCCACGUAAGUCCAUG
rnacentral:lncRNA from 1 species